UACGUAGGGGGCGAGCGUUGUCCGGAAUUAUUGGGCGUAAAGAGCGUGUAGGCGGUUCGGUAAGUCUGCCGUGAAAACCUGGGGCUCAACCCCGGGCGUGCGGUGGAUACUGCCGGGCUAGAGGGUGGUAGAGGCGAGUGGAAUUCCAGGUGUAGCGGUGAAAUGCGUAGAUAUCUGGAGGAACACCGGUGGCGAAGGCGGCAUCCUGGACCGGCAUUGACGCUGAGGCGCGAAAGCCAGGGGAGCAAACGGG
rnacentral:rRNA from 1 species